UACGGAGGGUGCAAGCGUUAUUCGGAUUUAUUGGGCGUAAAGCGCAGGUAGGCGGUUUACUAAGUCUGAUGUGAAAUCCCUGGGCUCAAUCCAGGAAGUGCAUUGGAUACUGGUAAACUAGAGUAUAGGAGAGGAGAAUGGAAUUCCUGGUGUAGAGGUGAAAUUCGUAGAUAUCAGGAGGAACAACGGUGGCGAAGGCGAUUCUCUGGACUAUUACUGACGCUGAUCUGCGAAAGCAUGGGGAGCAAACAGG
rnacentral:rRNA from 1 species